rnacentral:rRNA from 1 species
AGAGUUUGAUCCUGGCUCAGGGUGAACGCUGGCGGCGCGCUUAAUGCAUGCAAGUCGAACGUGCCUUCGGGCAAGUGGCAGACGGCUGAGUAACGCGUGAGUAACGCACCCUUCGGUGGGGUAUAGCCUCGGGAAACUGAGGGUAAUCCCGCAUACGAUCCCGAUGCCCUGGUGUCGGGAUGAAAGCCUUCGGGCGCCGGAGGAGCGGCUCGCGUCCUAUCAGGUAGUUGGUGAGGUAACGGCUCACCAAGCCUAUGACGGGUAGCUGGUCUUAGAGGACGAUCAGCCAGAGGGGGACUGAGACACGGCCCCCACUCCUACGGGAGGCAGCAGCAGGGAAUUUUGGGCAAUGGACGAAAGUCUGACCCAGCGACGUCGCGUGGGGGAUGAAGGCCUUCGGGUCGUAAACCCCUUUUUUCGGGGAAGAGUGAGGACGGUACCCGAGGAAUAAGCCUCGGCUAACUACGUGCCAGCAGCCGCGGUAAUACGUAGGAGGCGAGCGUUGUCCGGAUUUACUGGGCGUAAAGGGCGAGUAGGCGGUCUAUUAAGUCUCAUGUGAAAUCUCCCGGCUUAACUGGGAGGGGUCAUGGGAAACUGGCAGACUUGAGGGCAGUAGAGGAGAGUGGAAUUCCCGGAGUAGCGGUGAUAUGCGUAGAUACCGGGAGGAACACCCGAGGCGAAGGCGACUCUCUGGGCUGCACCUGACGCUGAGGCGCGAAAGCAUGGGGAGCGAACCGGAUUAGAUACCCGGGUAGUCCAUGCCCUAAACGAUGGAUACUAGAUAUGGGGGGUAUCGACCCCCCCCGUGUCGUAGCUAACGUGAUAAGUAUCCCGCCUGGGGAGUACGGCCGCAAGGCUAAAACUCAAAGGAAUUGACGGGCCCCCGCACAAGCAGCGGAGCGUGUGGUUUAAUUCGAUGAUAAGCGAAGAACCUUACCAGGGCUUGACAUGCUUCUGUAAUCUCGGGAAACCGAGCCCUCCUUCGGGACAGAUGCACAGAUGUUGCAUGGCCGUCGUCAGCUCGUGCCGUGAGGUGUUGGGUUAAGUCCCGCAACGAGCGCAACCCUUAUCGUUAGUUGUCUUUUUCUAGCGAGACUGCCCCUAAAAAGGGGGAGGAAGGUGGGGAUGACGUCAGGUCAGCACGGCUCUUACGUCCUGGGCUACACACACGCUACAAUGGCCGGUACAGAGGGUUGCGAAGGAGCGAUCCGGAGCUAAUCCCACAAAGCCGGUCUCAGUUGGGAUUGCAGGCUGAAACCCGCCUGCAUGAACGUGGAGUUGCUAGUAACCGCAGGUCAGCACACUGCGGUGAAUACGUUCCCGGGCCUUGUACACACCGCCCGUCACGUCAUGGAAGUCGGUAACACUUGAAGUCGCUGGGCUAACCCUUCGGGGAGGCAGGCGCCGAGGGUGGGAUCGGUGACUGGGACGAAGUCGUAACAAGGUAACC